rnacentral:rRNA from 1 species
AAUGAACGUUGGCGGCGUGGAUUAGGCAUGCAAGUCGUACGAGAAUCGUAGCAAUACGAGGAAAGUGGCGGAAGGGAGAGGAUUACGUGGGAAUCUACCCUCAGAACUGGGAUAGCGGCGGGAAACUGCCGGUAAUACCAGAUAAUGUCUGUGGACCAAAGGUGUGAUUCCGUCUGGGGAUGAGCCCACGUCCUAUUAGCUAGUUGGCAGGGUAAUGGCCUACCAAGGCAAUGAUGGGUAGCGGGUGUGAGAGCAUGACCCGCCUCACUGGGACUGAGAACUGCCCAGACACCUACGGGUGGCUGCAGUCGAGAAUCUUCGGCAAUGAGCGCAAGCUUGACCGAGCGACGCCGCGUGCGGGAUGAAGGCCUUCGGGUUGUAAACCGCUGUCGUAGGGGAGCAAGAGAUGAGGGUACUCCCUCCGAUUUGAGUGAUCCUAGGAGGAAGGACGGGCUAAGUUCGUGCCAGCCGCCGCGGUAAAAC